rnacentral:rRNA from 1 species
AUUCCAGCUCCAAUAGCGUAUACUAAAGUUGUUGCAGUUAAAAAGCUCGUAGUUGAAUUUCUGGUCGUGGCGAUCGGUCCGCCCCUCACGGGGUGUGCACCUGGUCUCUACGUCCAUCCUCGGGGAGAGCGCGUCUGGCAUUCAGUUGUCGGGUGCGGGAUCCUCGUCAUUUACUGUGAGCAAAAUAGAGUGUUCAAAGCAGGCUUAGGCCGUUGAAUACAUUAGCAUGGAAUAAUAAGAUAGGACCUUGGUCUAUUUUGUUGGUUUGCAUUCCAAGGUAAUGAUUAAUAGGGAUAGUUGGGGGUAUUCGUAUUCAAUUGUCAGAGGUGAAAUUCUUGGAUUUAUGGAAGACGAACUACUGCGAAAGCAUUUACCAAGGAUGUUUUCAUCG